rnacentral:lncRNA from 1 species
CAUGCAUUCCCUAUCAACACCAGACUCUGUCCUGCAGUGUCGUGUGUGUCCGUGUGUCCUGCGUAUCUGAAGAAACUAUAACCCAGACAGCAAGUACUACCUCACUACUUUCUCCCCAAGGGACAACCCGUCCCCCCUUGCACCUCUCUGCCAAGUCCCACGGCUGGCCUGACUCUAAGGGACAAGGGUAGUGUCCUCCUAGAAUCCCCUGCGGUGGAGAGGGCGAUUCAGGUGACAGCGCUGGGGGGAAAAGGUGCUUCCGGCGGGGGUAGGAUUUGAAACCCUGUCCAACAGCCGAAUUGCUAGCAGGUGCUUUACUCUCUACCACUUGUUCACCAGUGCAAACACACACACAUACACACAAUUACUAGCACAUACAUAUAUAACUAUACAUACAUACAGCCACACAAAUACAUACACACAUAUAGAUACACACAUGCACACUCACAAACACACACACACAUACAUAUAUAUGCAUCUUCAUAUGCACAUACAUAACAUAGAUACAAACACACAUACAUUCAUAAAUUCAUACGUACAUAUACAUACAUACAUACAUAAAUAUAAAUGUACACCAACACGCAUACAUAAAUAAACACAUACAUAUAUUCAUAAAUACAUAUACACAACACACACCCACACAUAUACUCACACACACACACACACGCAGAAACCCAGUCGCACACACUCACACACACACACAGAAACACAGUCACACACACAUACACACACAAAUACACUCAUACAUACACAUACAAAUACACUCACACGUCCCCUCACACACACACACUCAGACAGGCACACACAAACACACACACAGAAAAACAGUCACACACGCGCAAAUACACUCACACAUACACACACAAAUACAAUCACACAUACACACCCACAAAUACUCACACAUGCACACACAUACACACCCACAAAUACACACAUCACACACACACACACCCACAAAUACACUCACACAUACACACACACAAAUACACUCACACAUACACACCCACAAAUACACUCACACAUACACACACACAAAUACACUCACACAUACACACCCACAAAUACACUCACACAUGCACACACACACGUCCCCUCACCCACACGCACUCGCACCACCCCAUCCCCCAGUAAAUUCGACACUCUGCAUCCAUUCAGCCAAAGACAAAGACCGCUUCAAGUCCAGCAUUCACCAAACACCUGGAUUACCGGAAUCAAUACUCAGCAACAAGUGAGAGAGAGAGGACACCAUCAUCACUGCGCACACAAUAUCCUAAACCGAGAUAGACAUAGCCAGCCACCACCACCACCACCACCACCACCACCAUCAUCAUCAUCGUUAUGAACAAUACUGGAAAGAUGCGGUUAGUAAAAUUUCAGUUUUUUAUAUUACAAUUUAUGUAAUUUUAGGUUUUGAAUAUUUUACUUAUAACGGCUUUGGCCAUGCUGGAGCAAGUUCUGGAAGACCUUUGCUGUUGAUCGGUCGAUGGGAAUGGCAUGGGGUUUGGAGAAUGGCCAAGAGGCUUUUGUUGCUGUUGUUGACUGUGUAGUUCUAGCGGUAGAGGCUGUUGUUUAGCCCCAGGUUUGGUCCUAAAUGAGCAGAUCUCUAAUUAAAGACACGAUGUAUCUAGGACUACAUUAUCCCAAUGUGUCCUUCCUUGCUGUUGGUGUUGUUUAGCCACUGGUCAGUCCAGAUCAAGACAGACCUAUGAUCAAAGAUAUUCCAUCUGUGGCCAUCCUGCAUUUCACUGAAGCCUAGUGUAUCUAGGACUACAUUAUCUCAUGUGUCCUUCCUUGCUGUUGAUGCUGUUUAGCCACCGGUCAGUCCAGAUCAAGAUGUACCUAUGAUCAAAGAUGUUCCAACUGUGACCAUCCUGUCUUUUAUUCAGGCAUAGUGUAUCUAGGACUACAUUAUCUAAUGUGACCUUCCUUGUUGUUUAGCCCCAGGUCAGUCCUGAUCCAGCAGACGUAUGAUCAAAGAUAUUCCAUCUGUGACCAUCCUGUCUUUUAUUCAGGCAUAGUGUAUCUAGGACUACAUUAUCCUAAUGUGUCCUUCCUUGCUGUUGAUGUUGUUUAGCCACUGGUCAGUCCAGAUCAAGACAGACCUAUGAUCAAAGAUAUUCCAUCUGUGACCAUCCUGUCUUUUAUUCAGGCAUAGUGUAUCUAGGACUACAUUAUCCUAAUGUGUCCUUCCUUGCUGUUGAUGUUGUUUAGCCCCAGGUCAGUCCUGAUCCAGCAGACCUAUGAUCAAAGAUGUUCCAGCUGUGACCAUCCUGUCUUUUAUUAAGGCAUAGUGUAUCUAGGACUACAUUAUCUAAUGUGUCCUUCCUUGUUUCUUAGUUUAGCCCAGGUCAGUCCUGAUCCAGCAGACCUAUGAUCGAAGAUGUUCCAGCUGUGACCAUCCUGUCUUUUAUUCAGGCAUAGUGUAUCUAGGACUACAUUAUCUAAUGUGUCCUUCCUUGUUGUUUAGCCCCAGGUCAGUCCUGAUCCAGACAGACCUAUGAUCAAAGAUGUUCCAACUGUGACCAUCCCGUCUUUUAUUCAGGCAUAGUGUAUCUAGGACUACAUUAUCUAAUGUGUCCUUCCUUGUUGUUUUUGUUGUAGCCCAGGUCAGUCCUGAUCCAGCAGACCUAUGAUCAAAGAUGUUCCAGCUGUGACCAUCCUGUCUUUUAUUAAGGCAUAGUGUAUCUAGGACUACAUUAUCUAAUGUGUCCUUCCUUGUUGUUGUUUAGCCCAGGUCAGUCCUGAUCCAGCAGACCUAUGAUCAAAGAUGUUCCAGCUGUGACCAUCCUGUCUUUUAUUCAGGCAUAGUGUAUCUAGGACUACAUUAUCUAAUGUGACCUUCUUUGCAUUUGAUCUACCUGAAUUAUAUUCUAAGUCAUUCCAGUCUUGGAAAUGAGUUCCUUUUUUUUAUUUAUUUAGAUAUACUACAUCGUGGGGUACGUUAUCUAAAAUGUCCUUCCUUUAUUAGAACGUUUGGCUGCUAUUCCUAGCAGUCAGAACAACCACAGAGGUGGUCAGUUAUUAGCAUCGCAGAAAACAUAACACGCACCUUGCUCAUUUUCAAACACAAACAUACAUAUACACACACACACACGCUCAUAUAUCUAUAUAUAUUUAUAUAUAUAUCUAUAUCUAUCUAUCUAUCUAUUGUAUUUCGUCUAUUUUCUGUGUUUAGCCCUGUGUGCCAUAAUAAAAAGAUAUACAUAUAUAUAUAUAUAUAUAUGUAUAUAUAUAUAUAUAUAUAUAUAGUGGCUGUGUGGUAAGUAGCUUGCUUAUGAACCACAUUGGUUCCGGGUUCAGUCCCACUGCAUGGCACGUGUCUUCUGCUAUAGCCUUGGGCCGACCAAAGCCUUGUGAGUGGAUUUGGUAGACGGAAACUGAAAGAAGCCCGUCGUAUAUAUGUAUAUAUGUGUGUGUGUGUAUAUGUUUGUGUGUCUGUGUUUGUCCUCCUAGCAUUGCUUGACAACCGAUGCUGGUGUGUUUAUGUCCCCGUCACUUUAGCGGUUCGGCAAAAGAGACCGAUAGAAUAAGUACUGGGCUUACAAAGAAUAAGUCCCGGGGUCGAGUUGCUUGACAAAAAGUUGAUGCUCCAGCAUGGCCGCAGUCAAAUGACUGAAACAAGUAAAUGAGUAAAAGAGUAUAUAUAUAUAUAUAUAUAAAACAUAUAAAAUUUAAAUAAUGAGGGUGAUGAAUUGAAUAUUAAUUUAAAAUCAGUGGCCUAGCAUAUGGAAAAAUCUGAAAAUUCAGAAAAAUUGUAAUACAUGCGUAUAAGAAGGGAUGACCACUAAGUGGACAUCCAAUAUGCUAGAAAUAGAUCAUCUACGAUCUAACCACAAAGGAAAAGAAUGUUCUCUAGAAUCGGUGGCGUAGAGAGGGGAGGCUGGUAUGCAUGGGCGACUGCUGGUCUUCCAUAAACAACCUUACCCAGACUCGUGCCUGGGAGGGUAACUUUCUAUGUGCAAUCCCAUGGUCUGUGUUGUGACCGAAGGGGUCACAACAAUUGUUGUAUUUUGGGAUGGUCAUUUCUUUUUGGCUAAAUAAAUGCAUCCACUAUAUAUAAAUAUAUAUUUGUUUCUUCACUUGUUUAUUACUGUUUUUAUUUUAACUCCUGUCCUCUGUCCGGAAAUCUUUCAUCACACAUCUGUGACCUCUUCAGCGACACUUUACAUUUUCGUGUGUGUUCUUGGUCCACGAAAACGCAAAGUGUCGCUGAAGAGGUUACAGAUGUGUAAUGAAAGAUUUCCGGACAGAGGACAUCAAUUAAAUAUAAUAAAAAAAGGACAGUAAUAAGGGAGAGAAGGAAAAUAUAUAUAUAUAUAUAUAUAUAUAUCAUCAUCAUCAUCAUCAUCGUUUAACGUCCAUUCUCCAUGCUAGCAUGGGUUGGACGGUUCGACCAGGGAUCUGGGAAGCCAGAAGGCUGCACCCGGCUCCAGUCUGAUCUGGCAAUGUUUCUACAGCUGGAUGCCCUUCCUAACGCCAACCACUCCAAGAGUGUAGUGGGUGCUAUUUACGUGCCACCUGCACAGGUGCCAGACAAGGCUGGCAAAUGGCCACGAUCGGAUGGUGCUUUUUACAUGCCACCUGCACAGGUGCCAUAUAUAUAUAUAUAUAGUGUGUGUGUUCAUAUGGCAAAAAAAAAAAAAGGAAAAAAUUACCAUACCGAAAUACAACAAUAUCCAUUUCAAUAGACAAUUUCACAUCAGGAAUCUUGCAAAGCAAAUUGAUAUAUAUAUAUAUAUCAUAGGUGUAGGAGUGGCUGUGUGGUAAGUAGCUUGCUUACCAACCACAUGUUCCUAGGUUCAGUCCCACGGCAUGGCACCCUGGGCAAGUGUCUUCUACUAUAGCCUUGGGCCGACCAAAGCCUUGUGAGUGGAUUUGGCAGACGGAAACUGAAAGAAGCCCGUCGUAUAUAUAUAUAUGCAUAUAUAUGUGUGUAUACGUUUGUGUGUCUGUGUUUGUCCCCCCAACAUCGCUUGACAAGCGAUGCUGGUGUGUUUAUGUCCCCGUAACUUAGCAGUUCAGCAAAAGAGACCAACAUAUUAAGUACUAGGCUUACAAAGAAUAAGUCCUAGGGUCGAUGUGCUUGACUAAAGGCAGUGCUGAAGCAUGGCCACAGUCAAAUGACUGAAACAAGUAAAAGAGUAAGAGAUGUAAAAAUAACCAGGAGAGUUUCAGCCUUAUUAGGACUUUUCAGCAAAGAAUGAUGUCUUGGUGUAAGUCUUAGGAUCUUGAAAGAAGAACUAAGAAUUUUCGUCUAUAAAUGCAGGGUGGCUGGUAAAAAGGAAAAACUGGCCCCAUGGCCUGGGUUUGGGAAUCAUAUAUCUUUAUAUAUAAAAGUCAAGUUGUAUGGUGUCUGUCUCUGACGUAUUAGAUUCCUUACUCCCACAUUUUGUGGUGCAGUUUAACCAAAAGUGGGUAUCUUAUAGUCGUGAUUCAUAUCGAGCCCUUCUGGGUAUGAGCGCGCGUCUACGAUUUCUAAAAUAAUUUACCAUCAUUUUUUUCCCAUUUUAAUGCAUUUUUUCACUAUUAUAUAAGGGAAGUAACUCUCUAAAAAUGCUUAUAUAGUUAUUUCCCUUACAAACCCGAGCAACGCCGGCUGAUACUGCUAGUAUAUAUAUAUAUAUAUAUAUAUAUAUAUAUAUAUAUAUAUAUAUAUAUAUUAUAUAUAGUGUAUGUUUUUAUAUAUAUAUAUAUAUAUAUAUAUGUGUGUGUAUAGUGUGUGUGUGUGUGUGUUUGUGUAUAUAUGUGUCUGUUUAUGAAUGUGUAUGCAUGUGUGUGUGUGUGUUUCUGUAUUUAAGUGUCUGUAUGUGUUAGUGUUUGCUUUUGAGUAUGUGUGUGGGUGAAUAUGUGUGUAUGUUUGUGUAUAUAUGUGUCUGUGUAUGAAUGUGUCUGUGUAUGAAUCUGUGUGUAUCCAUAUAUAUGUCUGUGUGCAUGUGUAUGUGCUUAUGUGUGUAUAUGUGUGAGUGUUGUCACGCUACAUGCUUUAGUAACAAUGUCUGGUUCUUUUCCCACCGAGUUGCCUUUCUUAUCCAUUCUAUAUCUGUGUCUUGGAGAGGCUGAAGAUUCUGGCAGAUGCAAAGAAAACCCAUUGUCUAUACACUCAUGCGUGUAUAUAUGUGUACACACACUAUAUAUCUAAUAUAUAUGUGUGUGUGUGUGUGUGUGUGUGUGUGUAUGUAUAUAUAUAUACACACACACACCCACACAUAUAUAUACAUAUAUACACACAUACAUAUAUGUGUGUGUGUGUGUGUGUGUGUGUGAUGUAUAUAAAUAAUUAAAAAUACACAGGACAUUACCAGUGAGUGAAAAAUACGUAAACACACAAGAGAUUGAGAGAUAAGUAGAGGAUGUAUUUUUAGUUACAUGUAAUUGAAUGCCACACAACCUUUGUCAACAGUCAGUUUUUACAUUUAUAUAUAUAUAUUUAAAUGUACACUAAUUUUAUAUAUAUAUAUACAUACAUACAUAUACAUAUACACACACACACACACACACACAUAUAUAUAUAUAUAUACAUAUAUAUAAUAAAAAGGGUAAAUAAUUUUUUUCAGGGUUUUUUAGACAGAGCAACCUGUUGCCUGCCCUUUUAAUUACUACUAUACACACACAUAUAUAUAUAUAUAUAUACACAUAUAUAUAUACAUAUACAUAUAAUAAUAUAUAUACAUAUACAUAUAUAUAAACUGCCAAAAUGACCAUUUCGAAAUAUAACAAUAUAUAUAUAUAUAUAUGUAUGUAUGUAUACUAGCAGUAUCGCCCGGCGUUGCUCGGGUUUGUUUCGACCCUUUAGAAUUGGAAUUUUUGAAAAGUAAAAAUUUGGCAUUAUGUAGCUUGUUAUUCUCUUUAACCCUUUAGUGUUCAGAUUAUUCUAUCAAACAUAAUGCCUAUUGAUUCCAUUGAUUUGAAUUAAUCAUGCAUUAUCUCAUAUCUUCAAGAUCUUAAUGGUGUAAUUACUUAAUGUAGAAUAACAUUGUAUGGUAGGUGUGAGAGUCUGGAUCUGGUCAGUUUGAACAUAAAACGGAUUAGCUAUUUUGGCCGGAUAUGGCCGGUUUAAAUACUAAAGGGUUAAGUGAACAUUUUUCUGGUUGAAAUACACCGAAAAAUGGCAACACAGCAGUCAAAAAAUCGUAAAAAAUAGGGAUUUUCAUAGAAAAAAAAGCACCUUUUUGAUGCAAAUAAUUUUUGGUCUUAACAUGGUUCGAUUUGAAUUUUUUCUUCUACGGUGCUUGUGUGUGUUUGUCUCUCUAGCAUCGUUUGACAACUGGUGUUGGUGUGUUUACAUCCCCAUAACUUAGCAGUCAGGCAAAAGGAGACCAAUAGAAUGAAUACUAAGCUAACAAAGAAAAUCAACAAUCUGGAGUGUUUAUUUUAAUGGCCUACCAAUGUAUACCAAUGUAUACAGUAUGUUUCAGUGACCAUGUAUUCAUUCCCACUGCAUGGCAUCUUGGGCAAGUGUCUUCUACUAUAGCUCUGUGUGUGUGUGUAUGUGUGUCUGUAUUUGUCCCCUAACCACCGCUUGACAACCGAUGCCUGUGACUAAGCUGCUCGGCAACAGCGACUGAUAGAAUAAGAAAUGUAUUGGGAGCGAUAUAUUUCACUAAAAGUUCUUCAAGGGGAUGCCUUCAGGGGGGUUCUAACGGCGUUCAGGCGAAUAUACCGGCAUUGCUGUAGCAACGACCGAAAUAUUAUCCAGGUAAAUCUAACAGUAGAAGACUAAUUAAAUUUACGAUAACAAACGUAUUUGAAAAGUCCGAACCCUAGGUCCUAGAUCAGUGCUUUUCAAACUUUUUGCUGGAGCGGAACCCCAAGGAAACAUUCCACUGGCUCGAGGAACCCCUGUGCAAUAAUUUAAUAGUCUUAUGCACACAUAUCUGCACAGGAGAAUUAGAAAUUACUGCCGAUUUUUAGGAGUUUUGUAACUUCUUGCGGAACCCCUGGACUGUACUGGCGGAACCCUGGUUGAAAACCACUGUCCUAGAUUAUCCGAUUCUGAGUUGCCCAUUUAUCUAAUGUUCUUCCUUUGCCAGUAUAUACACAGUAAAGGUUUACUAUAGCAUCGUAAAAUUAUCGACUGCUAUUUACAGUAAGCAUUGGCUCCUUGUUGUACCACUUCUCUAUAUUUAUACUUCUACCUUUACGUUCCUUUAUUUGACUGGAAAACAACAUUUCCAGUCAAUAUGUAAUUUUUCAUUGAAAACUUUUUUGAUUGUUCUCAGUUCUGUUAACGGUUAGGCGUUCAGACGAGUAUACUGGCAUUGACGUAGCAAGAUUUGAAAUAUUCUCCAGGUAAAUCUAGCUAAGACUAAUCAAAUUUACGAUAACAAACGUAUUUGAAGAGUCCAAAACCUCGGAACUAGAUUAUCCGAUUCUGGGUUGUCCAUUUAUCCAAUGUUCUUCCUAGAGGUAAGACGAAAUUUUUUGCUCGCUGCCUUCACGCAUCUUUGCCUAUAUAUACAUAGUAAAGCUUUACUAUAGCGUUGUAAAUUUGUCAACUGCUAUUUCCAGUAAACAUUGGUGCCUUGGGAUCUUUUCCUUUUGAUGGACGGAAUUUCUAGUUAACUAAACAAUUUGAAACUUCGUAUACUGGUAGAAUGUGUCAAAAGAAAACAAUAUUUUCACUUGGCUUCUUUGAGAAAAUUGUAAUUUGUAAGUUUAAUGUAGUUUAAUUCUUCGAAUUUUAACCAAUGAAAUCCCAGCAUUUGAGCUCAAAUCAUUUGCUGCGUCUAAAAACUCAGACAAUAUCCUCUUGCAACGUAAACAGCACACACACACAAACGUGUUAUUCAUCCUUCUCUCUUCUGUCUGUUUGAUAAACAAAGGCAGAAGGAGGAGGAAUAUGCUAGAAAUAACAGCUAUAUCUCUUAAAUCAAUGAAUUUUGUCGCCCAAUAAAAUUAUCAACGAUAUUUUUUAAAUAUUUUCUUAAUUUUUUUUUACCGAGAAAGGCUUCUCCCAUGGUUUUGAAGGGCCAAAAACAACAAAAACAAAACAAUAAUAUGCCUAAAUUGGUCUAGAGGGUGCACGUGGAGUGUGGGUCGUAUUGUAAAAAUUUGUGAAAUAUUUUUUCAUAAAAGGAUGCCCCAGCUUGUCGGAGGCUGUGAUAUAAAUUGGGAAAAAAAUCCUCGACACCAGUGCGUAAUUGGUACUUAAUUUAUCGACCCCGAAACGAUGAAACAUUGACCCCCACCUUCUGGUUUAUUUACCUUUUGUCUAAAUUUGUUGCGGCAAGGGGCAAAACACAGAGGGGACAAAGCAUGAGAUACAAAAGUAUUAAGUCGAUUCUACCGACACCAGUGCGAACUCACGAACGUGUAUGUAUGCUUGUGUGCGUAUGUGUGUGUAUGUAAAUCUCCGUUUGUAUAUGUGUGUACGCUUAUAUAUUAAUUACUAUGUGCUUGUGCAAAUGUAUAUGCAUGUGUUUGAGAGAGAGAGAGAGAGUGACAGAGAGUGUGUGUGUGUGUGCAAGUGUACGUGUGUAUGUAUCUGAAUAUAUGUGUGUGUGUGUGUAUGCGGCUUGCGUCUGCUAUGUUUGUUUAUCAAUAUCGAUAACGCAGCAAAUGAUUUGAGCUCAAAUGCUGGCAUUUCAUUGGUUAAAAUUCGAAGAAUUAAACUACGUUAAACUUACAAAUUACAAUUUUGUUUACAAUAUUGUUUUCUUUUGACACAAUCUACCAGUAUACAAAGUUUCAAAUUGUUUAGUUAACUAGAAAAGAAAUAUAUACAUGUGAACGUUUAUGAAUUGUGAAAUAAACUCUCUCUUCAAUGGUUUAUUGGUUUUCUGCAGAAUAAGGCCUCAAUUUCUUUGAAUUCACAGUUAACAAGGGUCCCACCAUUUUCUGGUAGGUUCUUUCAUUUUAAUACUUUAUCCACCAUGUUACGUUUUUUUUUAUUGCCAUUUUAUUCCAUUUCAUUUAAUUAGCUCCUUUAUUAUCGUCCCAGUUGCCCUGUUUUAUUGCCACAAUUUCUUUAAAAAAUGUCUUUUAUGACCAAUCUCAUUAAGUAUUCCGUUUAACUAUUUCACAAGUUAUUUUAUUUGCUUCUGUUAGCUACACACAUACAAAGAACUUCGGUGUCAUUAAUAUCACUAUCCGUUUGCCUAGAUAGAAAUAUCUAAGGCGGCCAGCAGGCAGAAUCAUUAGCACAGCGGUAAAAAUGCAUAGCGGCAUUUCGCCUGUCUUUACGUUCUGAGUUCAAAUUCUGCCAAGGUCGAUUUUGCCUUUUAUCCUCACGGGGUCGAUGAAUUAAGUACCAGUGAAAUAUCUGGGCCGAUGUAAUGGACUAGUCUUCUCCCCCAAAUUUCGGACCUUGUGUCUAUAGUAAAAAGGGUUAUUAUCCCUAUCCGUUUCCCUAAUUCUUUGCCUUGAAAGAAACAAUGUAGGCGCAGGAGGGGCUGUGUGGUAAGUAGCUUACUUACAAACCACAUGGUUCCAGGUUCAGUCCCACUGCGUGGCACCUUGGGCAAGUGUCUUCUACUCUAGCCUUGGGCCAACCAAAGCCUUUCAGCUUCCGUCUACCAAAUCCACUCACAAGGCUUUCGUCGGUCCAAGGCUAUAGUAGAAGACACUUUCCCAAGGUGCCACACAGUGGGACUGAACCUGGAACCAUGUGGUUGGUAAGCAAGCUACUUACCACACAGCCACUCCUGCGCCUAUGAUGUGUAUAUAUGUGUGUGUAUGCAUGCGUGUGUACAUGUAUGUGUGCAUGUAUAAGUAUCUGUGUGUGUACACACACACACAUGUGGAUGUGGUGUAUGUGCGUAUAUACUUGUGUCUGUAUAUGUUUUUACAUGAUGUCUUAGCAGUUCAACAAAUAGUGAUCGACAAAAGUCAGGCAGUAUUACUCAGAGGGCAAUAUCUCGGGUAAAAUUGUUUUCGAUAUUACUCCAGCAUGGCCGCAGUCCAAUGGCUGGCUCCAGUAAAACAGCUACGAAACCCUCACCAUUGUGAUUGUAGUUAUCUUGUGCCCUUCUCUGUAUCUGGACAACAUUUUAGCUGCCCCCUAACCCCCCACCCCCUCCACUGCCAAUGCCCAGAAUUUCUGUCAGUUUCACAAAUUAUGGAUUCAGCCAUUUUUGUCAUUCUUUUUCUUAGUCUUUGAUGACAAUGUCGGGCCUCUUGACGGUAACGUUUAACACCAUUACCUUGCCAGCUCACAGCAGUUGUCAUUUCUGUCUUUUCACACACACACACACACACAUAUAUACACACAUACCCACACACACACACAGACAUUUACACAUGCACACAUACAUACAUACCAUACAUACAUGCAUAUGCACAAACACACAUACAUGUAUAUGCAUACAUAUGAACACACACACACGUAUGCAUAUACACACACAUACAGAUACACAUGCGCACAUACAUACCAUACAUACAUUGACACACACAUGCAUAAACACAUACAUGCAUAUGCAUACAUAUGAACACACACACACAUAUACAUGCACAUACAUACAUGCAUAUACAUACACAUACAUACGUACAUAUUCAUAAUAUAUAUAUGUGUAUAUCUAUGUGUGUAAAUAUAUGCAUGUGCAUAUACAUAUACAUUUACAAACACACACACACACACACACAUGUAUGUAUUUAUAUUCAUACACACACACACAAACCUGUACACACGUCCCACACACACAUCUGUCUCUGUUGCUAUGUCAUUCAUCGAAAUUCUUUCAAGUCGACACUUUCUUGUCAUUUCGUUUCAUUGUUUCCUCAAAAAAAGAGACAGAUACCCUCCAUCCAUGCCCUCCACUUCGAGCUACAGCAAAGAAGAGAAACCCACGUCUUUACUUGAUAACUUUAUUGAAGCCUUGAAGCCAUAUCAUCUUUGGCACUUCUCAUAUUUUCUUUUUUCUCUUUUGGUAUGAUUCCAAAGUUUACCAAGAACAGAAAACAAUAAGAAGCAUAACCACACGCUUUGCUCCGCUGUCAUUCUUUCAUAAUGGUUUGCACAGUUCCUGGCUAAUGACGUCGUUCCUCCAUAUCUGGCUAUCAUUUAAGACCCGUGUUAAGGCAGUUCAAACAGGGUGUUUGUUAACAUAAGAUCCUUUAAACCUCCCAACACUGCAGAUUUUCCAGUACCAUAUUUUGCCAUAACAUUUGGCCAAACCUUCAAUAGGAGCUUUGAGUAACUCAAAUCUUCAUCAUCAUCAUCGUUUAAUGUCUGCUUUCCAUGCUGGCAUGGGUUGGACGAUUUGAGUGAGGACUGGCGAACCAGAUGGCUGUACCAGGCUCCAAUCUUGAUCUGGCAGAGUUUCUACAGCUGGGUGCCCUUCCUAAUGCCAACCACUCCGAGAGUGCAGUGGGUGCUUUUAUGUGCCACCAGCACGAGGGCCGGUCAGGCAGCACUAGCAACGGCCAUACUCAAAUGGUGGUUUUCAUGUGCCACCUGUGUGGGAGCCAGUCCAGUGGCACUGCAACAUCAUCGUUUAACGUCCGCUUUCCAUGCUGGCAUGGGUUGAACGAUUUGACUGACGACUGGCGAACCAGAUGGCUGCACCAGGCUCCAGUCUUGAUCUGGCAGAGUUUCUACAGCUGGGUGCCCUUCCUAACGCCAACCACUCCACGAGUGUAGUGCCAGUCAGGCGGUACUGGCAACGGCCAUGCUCAAAUGGUGCUUUUUACAUGCCACCUGCAUGGGAGCCAGUCCAGUGGCACUACAUCAUCAUCAUUUAACAUCCACGAGCAACAUGUAACACAAAACCCUUUCAGGACAUCAAUUCUGUUGAUGAUUUUAUCAUCAAUAACGCAAAGCGCCGAAGAGAGUUCUGUGAAACAGAAGUUCAAGUAGAAGAACCUCCAAGAUUAAAUCGAAGGUCAAGAAGAUAAAUUGAGGACCAUUUUUAAGUCACAACCUUUUCAAGUCGGUGCAAAAAUUAGAAGGAAAUAAUAUAAACAAAACACGCGGCAUUUUAAGAUGGAGAUGAUAAUGUGGACAGGAACACAUUUGCGGUACUUUGAUGUGAGAAAAAUUAUUUUAAACGACUUCCAAGUAGUAAAUUCUCACGCAGCCGAGAAGCAAUAUCAGAAGCACUUGGCAGUUCAUCAGGUGCAGAUACCCUUGGAGAAAUAACGAGAUAAGCGUAAAAGUGUGAUAGAAAGAAUUUUUGAAAAGUUCUUGGUGUAAGUGCCAUUUAUAGUGAAGUACCUAAAAGCAGAAGAAAGAAAAAAACGGCGUAGCACUGCAGGAACUGUGACCUGUCAGUGCAGAGUGGCAGCCACCCAACCUAGAGAGACUCUUUGAUCUCUGAACUGUGCACUCGGUUGGAUAAUGGCCAUGCUCAAAUGGUGGUUUUUAUGUGCCACCUGUGUGGGAGACAGUCCAGCGGCAUUGCAUCAUCAUUGUUUAAUGUCCGCUUUCCAUACUAGCAUGGGUUGGGCGGUUUGACUAAGGACUGGCAAACCAGAUGGCUGCACCAGGCCCCAAUCUUGAUCUGGUAGAGUUUCUACAGCUGGAUGCCUUUCCUAACGCCAACCACUCCGAGAGUGUAGUGGGUGCUUUUAUGUGCCACCAGUACGAGGGCCAGUCAGGCGGAACUAGCAACGGCCAUACUCAAAUGGUGGUUUUUAUGUGCCACCUGCAUGGGAGCCAGUCCAGCGGCACUGCAUCAUCAUCAUUUAACAUACAAUUUCCAUGCUGGAAGGCACAUGGCUCAGUGGUUAGUGCAUCAGGCUUACAAUCAUGAAGUAGCAAGUUCAAUUGCCAGGCCAGGCUGUGUGUUGUGUUCUUGAGCAAGACACUUUAUUUCACGUUGCUGCAGUUCACUCAUCUGUAGAAAAUGAGUUGCGACAUCACUGGCGCCAGGCUGUAUCGGCCUCUUUGAGAUUAUUUGGAGGAAUCCUAUUUUGGCCACUUGCAUUCGGGAUCCUACUCUUUCAGUCACCACUCAUCUCAAAAAACAUCUCUGAAGAUAUAGACUUAGUUGUCUUGGAAAUACAGGGUUUGCUGUCUGUACUAAAGGGUUAACGAAAAGCUCUAUCUGCAACGAUUUCAUCUCAACUGAAGGAGAGGGGCUUUCUCUGUCCGGGUUGCGGAUCCGUGGAAUAAGCUGCCGGACGAGAUGGUGAAGAAGCCGACGACCGCUCGGUUCAAAGUCUCCCUUGACCACAAGUGGCCUGAACUCUUUACAUGAACACCACCCUGUACAUAACUCCAUGUCCCCCUACAUGGCCUUGCUUUUUUGCUUUUUGAGCCAAAAAAAUUAACUUAACUUAACACACACACACACACAGAGAGAGAAAAGCUCUAUCUGCAACGAUUUCAUCUCAAUUGAAGGAGAGGGGCUUUCUCUGUCCGGGUUGCGGAUCCGUGGAAUAAGCUGCCGGACGAGAUGGUGAAGAUGCCGACGAACGCUCGGUUCAAAGUCUCCCUUGACCACAAGUGGCCUGAACUCUUUACAUGAACACCACCCUGUACAUUACUCCAUGUCCCCCUACAUGGCCUUGCUUUUUGCUUUUUGAGCCAAAAAAUUAACUAACUAACUACGAGACAAGAGCAAAAAUAUUUUCAUAAAUAUUCAGACAUCCUGUAUUUGGACUGAAACACAAAGAUAAGCAGGUGAAAGACACUAAAGUCGUUCAGCCACGACAUAUAUAAGAGCUACACAAUAACUAGAGAUCACUGGUUGUCUGCCAAGACUUCCCAGAAAUCAGGCGACAUGGUUGAGAAUAUUAGUUGUGAUUGAGUGUGUGUUGUUAGAUUUUGACUAGUUUGUUGUUUUGGUGCCUCUGGGAAUUUGUUACUCUGUCAGGGCUGCUGUUAAGAAAAUAACAUACUUGAUUAUUAAUGAGCCAACAACCAUACAUACAUACAUACGUAUAUACAUACAUACAUACAUACAAAGCUGAAGAUCAGUGAAAAAGAGAACACUUAUGCUGAACUAUUGAAAAAUCUGCAGUUAUUCUAUCCAGAUUACAAGUUCAGGUUUAUACCUGUAAUUAUUGGGGCCCUGGGAUGUGUAACACACUGCCUAGAUACCAAUCUUGAGAAAUUAGGAUUCUCUAAAUCAGAAAGGAGAAAGCUGAUUCAAAGACUACAGAUCCAAUCCAUCACUGGAACUGUAAAAAAAAAAUUCUUUUACUUUUUUUUACUCUUUUACUUGUUUCAGUCAUUUGACUGUGGCCAUGCUGGAGCACCGCCUUUAGUCAAGCAAAUCGACCCCAUGACUUAUUCUUUGUAAGCCUAGUACUUAUUCUACCGGUCUCUUUUGUCGAACCGCUAAGUUACAGGGACGUAAACACACCAGCAUCGGUUGUCAAGCAAUGUUGGGGGGACACAAACAUACAAACAUACACACACACACAUAUAUAAGUUCUGGGGUCAAUUUGCUCAACUAAAAGGGGGUGCUCCAGCAUGGCCACAGCCAAAUGACUGAAACAAGUAAAAGAGUAAAGAGUAUAUAUAUACACACACAACACCACAUAUGCAUGUCCUUACCCUACAUGUCAAGUCUCUGACCAUAAUUGGCAUUAAUUGGUUGGGGAAUAGGGGAGGAGGGAGAGCGGGCGGGGGGGUUUGUUCCUGUCUUUUCCUCCUGGUUCUUUUGUAUGCCCUCUACUACUGUAUAUAUAAACAUACAUAUAUAUAUGUUUAUGUAUGUGCGUAUUCAUACUACAUACAUACGUACAUACAUAUAUAUAUAUACAUAUAUAUAUAUAUAUAUAUAUAUGUUGGUAUAUCUAUAUAUAUGUAUGUAUAUAUAUAUAUAUGUAUAUAUAUAUGUAUGUAUAUAUGUGUAUAUAUAUAUAUAUGUAAAUAUAUAUAUAUGUAUGUAUAUAUAUAUAUGUAUAUAUAUAUGUACGUAUAUAUAUAUGUGUGUAACCCAUGCCAGCAUGGAAAGCGGACGCUAAAUGAUGAUGAUGAUGAUGAUAUAUAUAUAUAUAUAAAUAUAUAUGUAUAUAUAUAUAUAUGUGUAUAUAUAUAUAUGUGUGUGUAUGUAAUAUAUAUGUAUAUGUAUAUGUAAGAAUAAAUAUAUAUAUAUGUGUGUGUGUAUGUGUAUGUAUGUGUAUAUAUGUAUAUAUGUAUAUAUAUAUAUAUAUAUAUAUAUAUAUAUAUAUAUAUAUAUAUAUACAUAUAUAUGUAUAUAUCUGUAUGUGUAUAUAUUUAUAUAUGUGUGUAUGUAUGUACGUGUCACAUAGGUAGUGGUGUGGUCCAGUCAAGUAGGAUGUGGGUAGCAAGAACCACUUGUGUGUCUGUGCAAAUGGUUGACUGUCAAAGCAGUCCUUAACUAAAACGAAUUACUUUUUGCUAAAGACUUUACUUAGUAAUUUGGUUUUAUGCUUUUUUGAAUAUCUGAAGUUCCAUUUGUUAUUCUGUGAAAGUUGAUGAGAUAAAAAUUAAGGUUUGAAAAGUAAAAUCAAGCCACAAAGUUUUUAACCCUUUAGUGUUUAAACCGGCUAUAUCCGGCUCAAAUAUUCUACUCAUUUUAUGCUCAAACUGGCCAGAACCAGCCUCUCACACCUACCCUGCAAUGUCAUUCUAAAAAUAAACAAUUACAUCUUUCAAAUUUUGAAACUACAAGAUAAUAUCAGAUAAAUUUUUUUAAUUGUAAAUGAAUAAGGAUUACUUCUGACAUAUUAAUUCGAACGCUAAAGGGUUAAUGUGGCCAUGUUUGCUUGUCUUCUAUUUAUUCUGAUCCUUUCUGUUUGGUUCCCACUUUUAAAUUCCUUCAGUUUUGUUGCUAUUGAUUUCAAACUUGGUGUAUUUGUGUAGUUUUAUAUGCUAAUUUAUGGGAGUGAAAUUCAUUUUAGCCAUAAAUUUAUAAAUAAAGAGUCAGUAUCUUUUAAAGUUUGUAAAUUUUGGGUAAUUUUAGCCAAUCGAAAGCCAGAGGCAUUUUAGUGCCUGUUUCCAUAAUAACACACCAAGGUAUUAUCUGCUUCACCUGGCAGCUAUUUUUUUUUUCUUCGUGAAGCAGUUAUUUUUAAUUACUGUCCUGUCGCUACCUCAUUUUCAUAAUUUUGGAACUGUUUUCCUGGACAUUUCUACUAUAGCCCCGGGCCGACCAAUGCCUUGUGAGUCGAUUUGGUAGACGGAAACUGAAAGAAGCCCAUCGUAUAUGUGUGUGUGUGUGUGUGUGUGUGUAUAUGUUUGUAUGUCUGUGUUUGUCCCCCCAACAUCGCUUGACAACCGAUGCCAGUGUGCUUACGUCCCCGUAACUUAGUGGUUUGGCAAAAGAGGCCGAUAGAAUAAGUACUAGGCUCCCAAAGAAUAAGUCCUGGGAUCGAUUUGCUCGACUAAAGGUGGUGCUCCAGCAUGGCCACAGUCAAAUGACUGAAACCAGUAAAAGAGUAAAAGAGUCAUAACAUUAUUGAAACCUCAAAGCCGUGAGAUAAUCCAUGAUUAAUUCAAAAGAAUGUGAAUAAUGAAGCAUUACAUUUGACUGGGUAAUCUGGAUAUUAAGGCUUAAGUCAAGGUUUUAUCCCAAAAGCUAUCGUUAAUUUAACCCUUUUGAUACCAACCCGGCUGAAACCACCUCUGGUUCUUUAGUAUAAGUGUCUUGUUUUCAUAAGUUUUGAAUUAAAAUCUUCCACCAAACCUUAGUCACAAUUUAUGUUCCAAGCACCAGCUGAAUGAUAACCAAGUUAUUUUACUAAAUUCUUUGUUAUAUUUAAAAUUAAUUGAAAGAAACACAGAGCAUCUCAACAGAAAUACGGUAACAAAAGGGUUAAAAUAUAUAAUAGAGAAACAAUUCUUAACCCUUUUGAUACCAACCCGGCUGAAACCAGCUCUGGAUCUGAGUACAAAUGUCUUGUUUUCAUAAGUUUUAAAAUAAAAUCUUCCACCAAACCUUAGUCACAAUUUAUGUUCCUAACACUAGCUGAAUGAUAACUAAGUUAUUUUACUAAAUUCUUUCUUAUAUCUAAAAUAAUUGAGAGAAACACAGAGCAUCUCAAAAUAAAUACAGUAACGAAAGGGUUAAAAUAUAUAAUAGAGAAUCAAUUCUUAACCCUUUUGAUACCAACCUGGCUGAAGCCGGCUCUGGCUCUGUAGUACAAAUGUCUUGUUUUCAAAAGUUUUGAAUUAAAAUCUUCCACCAAACCUUAGUCACAAUUUAUGUUCCUAACACCAGCUGAAUGAUAACUAAGUUAUUUUACUAAAUUCUUUGUUAUAUUUAAAAUUAAUUAAAAGAAACACAGAGCAUCUCAAAAUAAAUACAGUAACGAAAGGGUUAAAGCCGCUGUUUUUAUUUAAGAAAUAUAACACAGUGGCUAAGUUCCUUUCAAGCGUUGGGCCUCACGGAGGCAAUGACCAAGACCUUUGGCAUUAUGUUGUGGUUGAGAAGAAGUCCCAUCAAGUCGAGAAAAAUUGCAGUUGUGGCAGAUAACUGGUAUCACGCAAAUGGCACCUGUGCCGGUGGCUCAUAAAAGCACCCGUUACAUUCUCGGAGGAGUGGUUGGCAUUAGGAAGGGCAUCAAGCCAUUGAAAACCAUGCCCAAAUCAGACUGGAGCCUGCUGCAGCCUUCCAGCGUGCCAGCCCAGUAAAACCGUCCAACCCAUGCCAGCAUGGACAAUGGACGUUAAAUGAUGAUGAUGAUGGUGGUAGUGGUGGUGGCGAUGAUGGUGAUGAUGAUGAUGGUUUUGAUGAUGAUGGUGGUGGUAGUGGUGAUGAUGGUGGUGGUGGUAGUGAUGAUGAUGGUGGUGGUAGUGAUGAUGAUGGUGGUGGUAGUGGUGAUGAUGGUGGUGGUAGUGGUGAUGAUGGUGGUGGUAGUAGUGAUGAUGGUGGUGGUAGUGGUGAUGAUGGUGGUGGUAGUAGUGGUGAUGAUGGUGGUGGUAGUAGUGAUGAUGGUGGUGGUAGUGGUGAUGAUGGUGGUGGUGGUGGAUGUGGCUGUAGUACUGGUAGUGGUUGUAUAGGUAGUGUUGAUAGAAGUGGUAGUGGUGACUGCCGUGUGGUGGUGGUGGUUGCAGUUGUAGCCGAGGUGCUAAGGACAUUUGCUUGCAAAACAGUUGUGCAUAAUUAAUUAUCUAAUUAGGAGACAUUUUAUACAGUCCGCUAAUAAGCAGACAUUUAGCUUUAGAGAAGUAUUUAAUUAGACAUAUUUAAUUAAACAAAUAUUUAAUUUGACAAACAAAUAAACAGGUAAGUCUUAGUAAAUUUUCAGAAUGGCUUCCGGAAUAUUUUUGGUAAAAAGAAAGAAAUAGUCGCAGGAAUGGCUGGGUGGUAAGAAGCUGUCUUCCCAACCACAUUUGGGAAUUGGUGAAUGAACAGGUUGCCAUAAUGUUUUGGAAAAAUAAUUUGGUAUACAUUUACUCUUUUACUUCUUUCAGUCAUUUGACUGCGGCCAUGCUGGAGCACCGCCUUUAAUCGAGCAACUCGACCCAGGGACUUAUUCUUUUUGUAAGCCCAGUACUUAUUCUAUCAGUCUCUUUUGCUGAACCACUAAGUAACGGGGACAUAAACACACCAGCAUCGGUUGUCAAGCGAUGUUGGGGGGACAAACACAGACACACGCACAUAUAUAUAUACAUAUAUACGACAGGCUUCUUUCAGUUUCCGUCUACCAAAUCCACUCACAAGGCUUUGGUCGGCCCGGGUCUAUAGCAGAAGACACUUGCCCAAGGUGCCAUGCAGUGGGACUGAACCCGGAACCAUGUGGUUGGUAAACAAGCAACUUACCACACAGCCUGACUUUAGUUUUUUAAAAAAAAAAGGAAAAGUAAGAAAUAAAUCCUGUUUGAACAUUCGUUUAAAAGGUGUAAUUAUAGGCGAGCUGGCAGAAUCGUUAGCACGCCAGACGAAAUGCCAAGAGGUAUUUCGUCUGCCGCUACGUUCUGAGUUCAAAUUCUGCCGAGGUCGACUUUGCCUGUCAUCCUUUCGGGGUCGAUUAAAUAAGUACCAGUUAUGCACUGGGGUUGAUAUAAUCGACUUAAUCCAUUUGUCUGUCCUUAGCCCCUUGUGGGCAAUAAAGAAAUAGGUAUUUCGUCUGCCGCUCCGUUCUGAGUUCAAAUUCUGCCGAGGUCGACUUUGCCUGUCAUCCUUUCGGGGUCGAUUAAAUAAGUACCAGUUACGUACUGGGGUUGAUAUAAUCGACUUAAUCCGUUUGUCUGUCUUUCUUUGUCCCCUCUGUGUUUAGCCCCUUGUGGGUAGUAAAGAAAUAGGUAUUUCGUUUGUCUAUCUAUCUAUCUUUCUACCUGUCUGUCUGUCUAUCUAUCUAUCUGUCUGUCUGUCUGUCUAUCUAUCUAUCUUUCUACCUGUCUAUUUGUCUAUCUACCUAUUUGUCUCAGUCCUGUUUCACCACACUCUCCAGUCUUACCAGUAACUUGGUUCUGCUCUGUGAUACUUGCCUCUCAAUCAUAACCGAGCGAGGCUGUAGAUACACAACAAGGCACCCGACCUUCCCCUUCCCCCAACCAACGCCAUGCUCUUCACCAUCUUCCUUCCUUGUUUAUUUCUAAAUGUUGUUCAACCCCAUCCAUUGUGGCCUUCCUGCACCUCCAAGGGAAUUAUCUAAAACUGGUGUACUGUUUCAUUGAUAACACAGUUUGGGUCUCUGCCUAAGCUUUAUCGACAUCACAGCGAAACAGAGAAAGCCUUAUUCUGUCAAGUCUACAUCUCUCCUCGACAGACUGUCGUAUUGUCUAUUGAUCUGAUGAGGAGACUGACACUGGUCGGCUCACACGACUAUGAUAACAUUGUUUUAUCUCUGCUAUUAAGUUAUGAGGUUCCGAUGAUGUGAUGGAGAUAGAAGCAACUUGCCUCUCACAUGGUUUAUAUUUCACGCUCGCUUCUCGUUGUCAGCGGCUGGUUGGCUGGGAAGAUGUGUUCAAUUAUUUAUCUCUCUGCUGGUCACGAGAGACAGAGAGAGACGGAAGCAAGUGAUGGAGAGAUGAAGUGAGUGAUGGAGAGAUGAAGCGAGUGAUGGUGAGACGUGGGUUGGGUUGGUGGAUAAGGACUCUGGGGAUUCCAUUCUCACAGCUAGCAUUGUGCUGGAUCAAAUCUACCUGACUUUUGAAAGGAAACAAAUUUAUAAUUCAUUUACAUUUUCCAACUGCAAAUUCCAGAAAUGGUAAUCAGAUUUUCUGCUGUCAUUCAGUUCCAGUUUCCACCAGGAACAUCUUUAGAGACUCAAAGUUAUUCAGACAUUUAUGCUAAACUCAUAGUCAUGUCUCUUGCUUCGUUCAUACGAUCUGUCUGUCUGUCUCUACCUAUCUAUCUGUCUGUUUGCAUGUCUAUCUAUCUGUCUGUCUGUCUAUCUAUCUAUCUACCUGUCUAUCUAUCUAUAUGUCUGCCUGUCUAUCAAUCUAUCUGUCUAUCUAUCUACCUGUCUAUCUAUCUACCUACCUAUCUACCUGUCUAUCUGUCUACCUACCUAUCUAUCUAUCUGUCUACCUACCUACCUAUCUAUCUACUUACCUACCUACCUACCUACCUACCUAUCUAUCUAUCUGUCUACCUACCUACCUAUCUAUCUAUCUGUCUAUCUCUCUCUCUCUCUCUCUCUCUCUCUAUCUAUCUACCUACCUACCUAUCUGUCUAUCUAUCCAUCUAUCUAUUCAUAUAUAUAUGGUACUUAAUUUAUCGUUGAUGUUUUAAACUCACUGUUUAAUUAAAUCAAAUUAGGGGUAUCUUUACAGCUGUUUCUAUUUAUAGAAAUGGGGUAAAUUUGCAUUAGCCUCAUUACAAUUGAUAAACAUUUUCAAAACGAUUAUAUGGGAAAAGAAGGUAAAGAUAAAAUAAGAAAUAAAGGAAAAGAGUUCGUUAAAGCAAAUUAUGCAAAUCAUUAAAACUUCUCCAUUCUGUAUAUCAAUACCAAGAUGCCUUUGAUUUGAACCCCAAUUCACUGACAUCAUAUCGGGCAACUUGGCAGCCGUACAUGUUAUUCCCAGGCUCCUGUAUACACUGUAGAUCAGUAUGGAAAGUAUUGGGUGCAGGAGUGGCUAUGUGGUAAGAAGCUUGCUUACCAACCAUAUGGUUCAGGGUUCAGUCCCACUUCGUGGCACCUUGGGCAAGUGUCUUCUGCUAUAGCCCCGGGCCGACCAAAGCCUUGUGAGUGGAUUUGGUAGACGGAAACUGAAAGAAGCCUGUCGUAUAUAUUUAUAUAUAUGUGUGUGUGUGUGUGUGUGUGUGUGUUUGUCCCCCCAACAUUGCUUGACAACCGAUGCUGGUGUGUUUACAUCCCCGUCACUUAGCGGUUCGGCAAAAAGAGACCGAUAGAAUAAGUACUAGGCUUACAAAGAAUAAGUCCUGGCGUCGAUUUGCUCGACUAAAGGUGGUGCUCCAGCAUGGCCGCAGUCAAAUGACUGAAACAAGUAAAAGAGUAAAAGAGGUUGUCCGGAAAGUUCAUGCCGAUUUAUAGUAGCUUACCUUUCGACUUAUUUUAGAACAUGGUUGAGUCCCUAAAAUAGGAUUUGACUCCACCUCCAUUCAGAGCACAGUUUAAGCUAUCUUUUCGUGGAAGAAGGUUUAUGUUCCUAUAACCUGUGUUAAUUCUGUAACCCUUUAAAAUGGAAGAUAAGCAAGUUUAUUUUCCGCACUUGAUGCUUUGGGAACCAGACAAAAAUUGGUGCAGCUCGACUGGGAUGUGUUACCCCAGCCUCCAUAUUCACCAGAUAUUGCUCCUUCGGAUUUCCACUUAUUCAGGUCUCUGCAGAAUAGUCUUAAUGGUAAAAAUUUCAAUUCCUUGGAUGACGUAAAAUGAUACCUUGAUGAAUUCUUUGCCAUGAAAACACCUCAAUUCUGGGAAGAGGGUAUUUUUAAGUUAAAGGAAAGAUGGAGACGCAUUGUGCCACAAAAGGGUUCAUAUUUGGUUGAUUAAAAAAUGUAAUGGCAAGUAUUUAUUGACCUUUUUCUUUCCUUUAAAAAUCGGUACGAACUUUCCGGACAACCCACUAUUAUUAUUAUUAUUAUUAUUAAGUGAGAGAGCAGUGCAGGACAUCAAUCCCUCAAAAAUGCUGCCCUUGGGGCAAAAUUUAAAACCAUUAUUAUUAUUAUUAUUAUUGGGUUGUCCAGAAAGUUUGUGCCGAUUUACAGUAGCUUACCUUUCGACUUACCCUCCCAGGCACCUCAAUUCUGGGAAGAGGGUAUUUUCAAGUUAAAGGAAAGAUGGAGACGCAUUGUGCAACAAAAGGGUUCAUAUUUGGUUGAUUAAAUAUGUAAUGGCAAGUAUUUAUUGACCUUUUUCUUGCCUUUAAAAAUCGGCAAGAACUUUCCGGACAAGCCAAUAUUUUUAUUAUGACAAUUGUUGCUAAGGUCAACAAAACAAUUAGACACACACAAAUAAUUCGUUUUUCAUAAUAAACGCAGGUUGUUUAUAUUUAAGUUCAACUUUUCUCAUAACUGUAAUUAUUCUCCUCUAUAUUGUUGUUGUUGUUGUAUCUUCCUGUGACUAAUUUAGUAUUUUUUUUGUCUUCUUCCAAUUAAAUUUGUCAUUGGGUUUAUUAGUCUUGUACUAGACGACAUGUCGUCAUCGUCAUCGUUGUCGUCGUUGUGUAUAUUCUUGGUUGAAGCAAGUGGAGAAAGUCGUUUGUCAUUCGUUAGUGUUUUAACGAAUAAGAAAAACAAGGCUGCAAACAAAAAUUAAUGCACACAUAUGUGUGCGCAUGCACAUGCAUGCACAUACACACACAAUUCUUCUUUGAAGUUUUGGCAAGCUAAGCUAUUGUUGGACUGGGCCUGUGCGUGUAUGCACAUGUGUGUGUGUGUAUGUAUACAUAUAUAUAUAUAUAUAUAUUCAUACACACAUACACAUAUUAAUAUAUAUAUAUAUACACACACACAUAUAUCUGUGUGUGUGUCCCUCUACCGUUCCUUGACAACCAAUAUAUAUAUAUAGAGAGAGAGAGAGAGAGAGAGAGAGAGAGAGCAGGACAAUGCAUCACCCGGUCCAGGAAUGGAAACCACAAUCUUAGGAUCAUGAGUUCAACACCCAAACCACUAAGCCACAUGCCUCCACACACACACACACAUCAUCAUCAUCAUCAUCAUUUAGCGUCCGCUUUCCGUGCUAGCAUGGGUUGGACGGUUCAACUGGUGUCUGUGAAGCCAGGAUGCUUCGUCAGGCCCAGUCAGAUCUGGCAGUGUUUCUACAGCUGGAUGCCCUUCCUAACGCCAACCACUCCGUGAGUGUAGUGGGUGCUUUUUAUGUGCCACCGGCACAGAAGCCAGACGAGGCUGGCGAACGGCCACGCUCGGAUGGUGUUUUUUACGUGCCACCGGCACGGAGGCCAGGUAGGGCUGGCACGGCCAUGAUCGGAUGGUGUUUGUUACGUGCCCACAGCACGGAGGCCAGUCGAUGCGGCACUGGCUACGGCCACGUUCGGAUGGUUUUCUUAUGUGUCACCGGCACUGGUACCACAAAAUACAAAUUCCAUUGAUGUUCAUCGAUUUUGAUUUUCACUUGCCUCAACAGGUCUUCACAAGUGUCCCAAGAAGGAAGGUAUGCACAGGUGGACUGACUACGUCCCAGGUAGGGGCCAUGGGUUAUGGCCUCACGUGUCCUGCCGGGUCUUCUCGCGCACAGCAUACUUCCAAAGGUCUCAGUCUCCGGUCAUUUCCUCGGUGAGACCUAAAGCGCGAAGGUCGCUCUUCACCACCUCGUCCCAGGUUUUGCUGGGUCUACCUCUUCCACAGGUUCCCUCAACCGCUAGGGUGUGGUACUUUUUCACACAACUAUCUUCAUCCAUUCUUACUACGUGUCCAUACCAGCAUAGACGCCUCUCUUGCACACCACAUCUGAUGCUUCUUAGGUCCAACUUUUCUCUCAAGGCACUUACACUCUGUCUGGUAUGAACACUGACAUUACACAUAUAAAUAAAAUUAAAUAAUGAGGGUAGAAAUUGAUAUUAAUCAAUUAAAACCAGUGGCUUAGCAUAUUUAAAAAAACCCGAAGAUUAAGAAUUGUGUUACAUACAAAAUUUAGAGGAAUGACCACUAAAGUGGACACCUAUCUUUAGCAUAUUAGGAAACCACUUUGGUAAUAUAUAUAAAUAUAUAUAUAUAUAUAAUUGCUGUGUGAAUGUAUAGUGAACUCAGAAAUCUCAUUUUCGCAAACAUCUAGAAUUUCAAUAAAAAAAAGUUAACCACAUCCAUAUGGCUAUUCUUUAAAGAAUACAAAACAAUAAAAAAAACAAGACCUGGAGAUGCAAUUAUAAUUUUUACUGAAGAAAGUCAAAAACUUUGUCAAUUAAGAACCUUGACCACUACAAAAAAUUCCCCAUGCUAAUAUGAAAACCACACCUCUUUACCUACCCCACGUUAACGAAUACAAAGGAAUAAAGAAAUGGUGUGGAAAUGCAAUUAUAAUUUUUACUAAAGAAAGUCAAAAAUAACAUCUGGGUUUUUUUAAUUAAAACUUUGACCAAUUCAAAUAUAAAACUUCUUUUUCCUUCCCCACCCUAAAAGGUCAAUAAGUACUAAACAAACAAAUCUGACCAUACUAAUACCAAAGCAACGCCUCUUUACCUACCCCUCCUUCUCAAAAUAUUUUUCUUCUGUUUUCUCCUUCGCAAAUCCCACAAUUUUUUUAUAUAUUAAAAAUGCCAAGAAGUCUAACUUUAAACCACUUUUUGAUAAAUCCGAUAACAGAAGAAAGCACAAAAAAGUGUAAAUUAAAUGUAAAUAGGCGCAGGAGUGGCUGUGUGGUAAGUAGCUUGCUAACCAACCACAUGGUUCCGGGUUCAGUCCCACUGCAUGGCACCUUGGGCAAGUGUCUUCUGCUAUAGCCUCGGGCCAACCAAUGCCUUGUGAGUGGAUUUGGUAGACGAAAACUGAAAGAAGCCCAUCGUAUGUAUAUAUAUAUAUAUAUGUGUGUGUGUGUGUGUGUGUGUGUGUGUGUUUGUCCCCCUAGCAUUGCUUGACAACCGAUGCUGGUGUGUUUACGUCCCCGUAACUUAGCGGUUCGGCAAAAGAGACUGAUAGAAUAAGUACUGGGCUUACAAAGAAUAAGUCCCGGGGUCGACUUGCUCGACUAAAGGUGGUGCUCCAGCAUGGCCGCAGUCAAAUGACUGAAACAAGUAAAAAAAAAAAUUUUUUUUUAAUUAAAAUAUCGUUUAACAUUCUGACUACCUUUUAAGUGGCUCCAUUCUAUUGAACAAUGCAAUCAUUAUAUCAAUUUAAAUGCGGGCCUAUCCUCAGCUGCAUAAAUAAAUAUAAAAUUUUUUAUCAGUUGGACACAUUAAAUAUAAUUUUAAUCAAAUUCUCUAAUUUGAAGACGGAGAAAGUCCAUGUUGCUACUAAUGUAACUCAGAAUAUACUACACUUCUAAGAACGAUAUGAAGUUUGUUAGGGUCAUGGUUUGUAAACGAUUGCGGUUCAAUUUUAAUUUAUUAGUCUUUUCUUAUCAACUACUAAAUCUUAGGCUAGAAGACAGUGUCUGCUUAGAAUGGAUAGACAGAGUGAGUUGACGGUUUAUAUUUGGGUAUGGUCAUAUAUAUUGUCAGGAUUUGAGGAAAUGUAUAAGUAACAGUCUAUAAAGGAGGCUGGGUAGGGAAAGACUCUAAAUCAAGAAGUCAAUUACCAGUUAAAGGGGCAAAAUGCUAAUAAAACCUAUGAUGUUAAUACAGAGGAAGUUAUCAUGGGGUACAAUGGAUGAAUGUGUAUAAACGGCACUGUCAUGCCUUGGGUUGUCAGAAGUGAAAGUAGUCAACUUCGUGUAUUUCCGUCGUCAAGUUUAUACCUUCGUUAAUUUACGCCGUUUAUUUACGUACCACCACGCUGUUAGGUUUAUAAAACAAUUGAAGUUCAGUUUAAAGUAUAUAAAUAAAUACAUUUCAUGUGUAAUGUAUACACAUGUGUAUAUAUAUAUAUAUAUAAACCUAACAGCAUGGUGGUACGUAAAUUAACGAAGGUAUAAACCUGACGGAAAUACACGAAGUUGACUACUUUCACUUCUGACAACCAAAGACAUGACAGUGCCCUCAUGGCACUGUCAUGCCUUUGCCAGCUGAGUGGACUGGAGCAACGUGAAAUGAAGUGUUUUGCUCAAGAACACAACGCGUCGCCCGGUCCAGGAAUCAAAACCACAACCAUACGAUCCCGAGUUCAACACCCUAACCACUAAGCCACACGUCUCCAUGAUACCUAUUUAUACAUAUAUAAUAUACAUACAUAUAUAUGUAGAUGUAUAUACGAUAUAUAUAUGUGUGUGUGUGUGUGUAUGUGUAAGAAAAAAUGGGAUUAAAUAUAUAUAUAUAUAUAUAUAUAUAUAUAUAUACAGUCUCUGACACAGUUCAAGCUAUCACUUCCUUGCCCCUCAUUAGACGAAUUUGUUUUUCCUCCCUUCAAGACCAGAAAAACAAGAUACUUUCGCACUUCCUCAGGUCGAACCAAGUUUACUCCACUCUGACUCUUGAAGCUGUUUCACUCCACCGUUUGUGGUGGUCAUAAGCCACAAUCACUGUUUAUGAAAAUACAUCACGGAUAUUCUGUUUUCGUGUGUAUUUGUGUACAAUCACAGCUAUUAUGGUAGCCGGCAUCCACACACACCUCGACAUUUAAGUAUAAUGCACUGUUGUCUCUCUCUCUCUCUCUUAACCGUCAUCAUCAUCAUCAGACAUAGAAAACAUACAGAAUGCUUCGAUGUAUAUCUAUUACGUAUUCUGUAUGUAUAUAGACAUGGCUAUUAUAUACACGCAAUGGAAUCUAUAUACACACACAUGCAUGUGUGUCUGUUUGCAAAGAAUUUGGUUAAUUAUCUCUGUCGUCAGCAAAUGAAUCACAUAUAGAUCUAUUUUGUGUACACACACAUGUAGAUCUUUGUGUAUGGACACACACACAAAUAUAUAUAUAUAUAUAUAUAUAUAUAUAUAUAUAUAUAUAUAUAUAUAUAUAUAUAAAUAAUAAUAAAUAUUAGGGAAUGAAUCCAAAAUUACAGGGAAAAAUCAGAUUUAGGGUUAAAUCCAAUUUUAUAUAUUAUAUAAUACAAUUGCAGCGUGGAAGGUGUUUAUAUUUAAGAAACACACAAAACCGUUAUUCACUAAGUUUAAUUUGUCAAAAUAUUUUCGUCGCUAUUAUAUUAAAAUUUUAUGUAUUGAUUAAGUCUUUCCUUGUUUGGUUUUAAAAUAGUGGUUUUGUCUCGAAUUAUAUUAUAUUAUAUUUAUAUAUAUAUAUAUAUAUAUAUAUAUAUAUAUAUAUAUAUAUAUAAUAUAUAUAUAUAUCAAUAAUAUAGGGUGAAAUUAAUUAAUUUAGAAAUAAUCAUUAAUUUCACCAAGUAGGGUUCGGCAUGUAAAAGACCCAUUCAAGGAAGGUUUAAGUAAUACUAAUUAAUUAAGGGUUCAGCAACGAUUUGCUUCACCACAUUCGGUAUGUGGUGAAGCAAAUCUUGUCUGAACCCUUAAUUAAUUAGUAUAUAUAUAUUCUUUUACUCUUUUACUUGUUUCAGUCAGUUGACUGCAGCCAUGCUGGAGCACCGCCUUUAAUCGAGCAACUCGACCCCGGGACUUAUUGUUUUGUAAGCCCAGUACUUAUUCUAUCGGUCUCUUUUGCCGAACCGCUAAGUAACGGGGACAUAAACACACCAGCAUCGGUUGUCAAGCAAUGCUAGGGGGACAAACACAGACACACAAACACAUACACACACACACACAUAUAUAUAUAUAUAUAUAUAAAUCCACUCGCAAGGCUUUGGUCGGCUUGAGGCUAUAGUAGAAGACACUUGCCCAAGGUGCCACGCAGUGGGACUGAACCCGGAACCAUGUGGUUGGUAAACAAGCUACUCCUGCGCCUAUAUAUAUAUAUACAAAUAAAUGAAAGAAUGGAGUUGAACGACGAAAUUAGCAAAAUUCCUCUAUUUUAUUUUCGACAUAUGUUUCGAAGGCUGCAUAUUCCUAAUUUCGAAGGAAUAAGGGGUGCAUUAUGCCUUCUUCUCAUCAGGAAGAACAAGGAACUUAUGUCAGCAUCAAGAUGCACAAAAACUUUUAGAUGACUGCCCACAGUUUUUGUAAAAGUUUUUGUGCAUCUUGAUGCCGACAUAAGUUCCUUGCUUUUCCUGAUGAGAAGGCGGCAUAAUGCAACCCUUAUUCCUUCGAAAUUAGGAAUAUGCAGCCUUCGAAACAUAUGUCGAAAAUAAAAUAGAGGAAUUUUGUUAAAUCGUCGUUCAACUCCAUUCUUUCAUUUAUUUGUAUUUAAAAAAAAACACACAAAUUUCCACACGAUAGCACGUGAUCUCUGCCCUAGGCAUGUAGCUUCAACCGUGUUUUUCUGACGUGAAUUUGCUACCCAGGUACCGGUUAACCGAAUUAUCCAUAAUAAGAUAAUUCAUUCAACUACUCAAUUAUAUAUAUAUAUAUAUGGCAUUACGACAUGCGAAACUUCGCCUAUAUAUAUAUAUACUAGCAGUAUCGCCCGGCGUUGCUCGGGUUUGUAAGGGAAUUAACUAUAAAGCAUUUUUAGAGAGUUAUAGCCAAAAAAUGCAUUAAAAAUGGAAAAAAUAUGAUGGUAAAUUUUUUUUUAAAUCGUUGACUCAUCGUCAACAUUUUUAGAGAGUUACUUCCCUUAUAUAAUAGCGAAAAAAAUGCAUUAAAAUGAAAUAAAAUGAUGGUAAAUUUUUUUUUUAAACGUAGACUCAUCGUAGACGCGCGCUAAUACCCAGAAGGGCUCGAUAUGAAUCACGACUAUAAGAUACCCGGUUUUGGUUACACUGCACCGUAAAAUGUGGGAAUAGUUAGGAAUCUAAAUCGGAGGAGACAGACACACAACUUCACUUUUAUAUAUAAAGAUAUAUAUAUACAGGUUGCGUAUAUAUAUAUAUAUACUUCUUUACAGAUAUAGUGUGAAUAUAUAUAUAUAUAUAUAUAAUAAAAUCAACAAAUUUCACCAAGUAGUAUUUCGGUAUGGACCAGAUACAUUUCAAAAAAAAGUGUUGUUUUUUAUAUAUAUGGCGGGGCUAGGGUUAGGGUUUGUCUUAGGGUUAGGGGUGGAAGAAAAGGGCUUCUGUUAUCUUCAGAAAUGUAAACAAACUAUCCCGAAGUAUCGCCACAUACCCUAACCUUAAUCCUAACCCUAACCCCCAUAUAAAAAAAAAAAAAAAAAAAACCCUUUUUUGUAAUGUAUCUGGUACUUCCAGAAGUAUACCGAUACUUGUACCGUAACAUCGCCGGAAAAAAAAACCCAUAUUUGGUAAAAAAAAAUAAGGGUUUUUGCAACAAGUUGUUUGACCACAUACCGAAAAUUUAUAUGCACAUAAAUCUAGAAAUAUUAGGAAAACCUACCUUCCAUAUUUCCAAUCAAGCGAGACAUCAGAACAUCUAAAAGCUAAUCAGGAUAACCACGUGUGUAGAGGCGAAUGAAUAUUUCCCGCCAGAAUUUUUACCGCGUCAAAAAAGUAGAACUGCCGAAAAAAGAUUCGUAUUUUUGUCGUAGGGGAGUGAAAUGUGGAAGCACUCCGUCGGUUACGACGAUGAGGGUUCCGGUUGAUCCGAAUCAACGGAACAGCCUGCUCGUGAAAUUAACGUGUAAGUGGCUGAGCACUCCACAGACACGUGUACCCUUAACGUAGUUCUCGGGGAUAUUCAGCGUGACACAGAGAGUGACAAGGCCGGCCCCUUUGAAAUACGGGUACAACAGAAACAGGAAGUAAGAGUGAGAGAGAAAGUUGUGGUGAAAGAGUACAGCAGGGGUCACCACCAUCCCCUGCCGGACCCUCGUGGAGCUUUUAGGUGUUUUCGCUCAAUAAACACUCACAACGCCCGGUCUGGGAAUCGAAACCGCGAUCCUAUGACCACGAGUCCGCUGCCCUAACCACUGGGCCAUUGCGCCUCCACUGAGAGUAAAAUAAUCAUUGUAAUUAUAGGGUGAAAUAUAAUUAAUUUAAUAAAAUCAACAAAUUUCACCUAGUGGUAUUUCGGUAUGGAAAAGGACCAUAUUCGGUAAAAACUUAUAUAAUUAUAACAAUAAGGGUUUUUGCAACGAGUUGCUUGACCACAUACCGAAGAUUUUAGAAAUAGCAGCCAAAGGACUACUAUUUCAUUUUUCUACAAAAAUAUGUGAGUUACAAAUGUUGUUGUCUGUGGAGACAUGUUUUUGUAGACAAAGGAAAUAGUAGUCCUUUGGCUGCUGUUUCUAAAAUCAUCGGUAUGUGGUCAAGCAACUUGUUGCAAAAACCCUUAUUGUUAUAAUUAUAUACAUACAUAUAUCUCAUUUCAUUUUAUAUAUUGCCUUUACUCAUAUGUAAUGGUGUAUUAAAGUAUGGAUUGAGUAUCAUCGGAUAGUUGAUGUUUUACUGAUUUAAGUAUGUUUCUCCAUUCUCUAAUUUUGUAGUACAUACAUAUACAUAUAUAUAUAUAUAUGGUGUCACAGCCUCAGGAACGAACCAAAUAAAAGAAUAUAUACAGGGUGUGGUGAAUAAACUGUCGUCCAAAUAACUCUGACAUCUCAUUUUAACAGAUAUAUUUACCAAAAUUCCCUAAAAAUAUCUUGAAAUCCUAAAAGAGUAAAUUUAUUCAAUAAAACCGCCAUUGGCUUCGACCAUGGUCGUCUCCAAGGCAACGGUUCGACUUGAGCCGAAACACCUGGUCGCUCUCUCUCGCGCGCACACUUUAGUACGAAUGCACUCACACACGUCCAUCCAUUGUCUUUGAUGUCCACGAAUGGCUUGAAAAACCCAACAAAAACUCGAACUCAGACUCCUUGACCCCACACCCAGACACAUACCCACACGCACGUCCAGGGGCCGGAAAAUAAACUGUCGUCUGAAUAACUCUGACAUCUCAUUUUAACAGAUAUAUUUACCAAAAUUCCAUAAAAAUAUCUUGAAAUCCUAAAAGAGUAAAUUUAUUCAAUAAAACCGCCAUUGGCUUCGACCAUGGCCUCCAAGGCAACGGUUCGACUUUAGUACGAAUGCACUCACACACGUCCAUCCAUUGUCUUUCAUGUCCACGAAUGGCUUGAAAAACCAAACAUACACUCGACCACACACACUCAGACUCGACCUCACACUCACACACAUUCAGGGGACGGAAAAUAAACUGUUGUCUAAAUUACAUAAAAAUGAAAAUUACGCUGACAUCUCAUUUUAACAGACAUACUCUUUUACUCUUUUCUCUCUUUUACUUCUUUCAGUCAUUUGACUGCGGCCAUGCUGGAGCACCGCCUUUAGUCGAGGAAAUCGACCCCGGGACUUAUUCUUUGUAAGCCCAGUACUUAUUCUAUCGGUCUCUUUUUGCCGAACCGCUAGGUGACGGGGACGUAAACACAUCAGCAUCGGUUGUCAAACAAUGCUAGGGGGACAAACACACACACACAGACACACACACACAUACAUAUAUAUAUAUAUAUAUAUAUAUAUAUAUAUAUAUGUAUGUAUAUAUAUAUAUAUACACAUAUAUAUACGAUGGGCUUCUUUCAGUUUCCGUCUACCAAAUCCACUCACAAGGCAUUGGUCGGCCCGGGGCUAUAGUAGAAGACACUUGCCCAAGGUGCCACGCAGUGGGACUGAACCCGGAACCAUGUGGUUGGUUAGCAAGCUACUUACCACACAGCCACUCCUGCGCCUAUUUACCAAAAUUACAUAAAAACAUUUUGAAGUACUAAAGAGUAAAUUUAUUCAAUAAAAUCGCAAUUGGCUUCAACCAUGGCCUGCAGAUGACUUCAGAAUCUCCUGCAACUCUUCUGAACGGUCUCCUUGUUUAAGUUGGUAAAUGCUGCCAUAAUCCUUGCCUUCGGUCCAUCUUUGGUGUUACAAGGAGUUUUGUUGGUCUCUCAGUCAACUGAGCCCCACACAUAAUAAUCAAGGGAGUUGCAGUCUGGGGAGUUAGGUGGCCUAAUACUAGGGGUGAUGUGGUCGCAUAAAUUGUCUGACAGCCAUCACUGGGUUCUCCUGUUCGUGUGGUAUGAUGCUGAGUCCUGUUGCCAAAUAUAGGGUCUUCUAGCAGCCACCUUCUUGGCCCAGGGCGGCACUACCUCCUCCAAGUUCUUGAUGUAGGCCUCUGUGUUGAGUCUGAGGCUGUGUGGGAAGAUGAAUCGAGACAUAACGUCGCCAUUACUUGUGAUCAUUCUAAACACCUUUGCAAUCACCUUUAGACUCAUCCAAUUCUUUCCGAAUUAUUUGCACUGUCCUCAGAUUGACACCCAAACACUCUGAAAUGUUUGUAUUGGAGCUCCCGGUGCAAAUGCUCAGCAGUACAGCAUGCUGUUUUCAAGUUUCCGGCUGAGUGAAUUACGUCAUGAGGCUGUUUUGCUCACAGACGGUGCCCAACUGACCCUACGAUACUGUGUAGUCGACAAAAUCAAAAACAAGCAAUGCACAUGCAUGAAAAUAAAAUAAAAUAAAUACCAGUUGUGUACUGAGCUCGAUCCAAUCGACUUGCCCCUCCAGCCACACAAAAAAAUUUCGGACCUUUUGCCUAGAGAAGAAAAGUAUACGUGUGUGCAUGUGUAUAUAUGCAUGUGCGUGUGUGUGUGAGUGUGUGUGUGUGUGUGAGUGUGUGUGUGUGAGUGUGUGUGUGUGUGUGUGUGUGAGUGUGUGUGUGUGUGUGUGUGUGUGUGUGUGUGUGUGUGUGUGUGUGUGUGUGAGUGUAUGUGUGAGUGAGUGUGUGUGUGAGUGUGUGUCUGUGUGAGUGAGUGUGUGUGUGUGUGCAUGUGUGUGUGUGGGUGAGUGCGUGUGUGUACCAGUUUUCUAACAGUGAUGUUCUAUUCUAUGAGACGAGCAGCUGGGAAGAAGUAAAUAGACGAAAUGUGAUGACAAACGAAGAUAAAGCCAUGGGUUCUCGGGGUGGAGGCUGGAGCAGGGCGGGAAGGGGUCGCAUUUAUCGGUGGGGGUAAGUACAAGCAAACCCGUGUGUGUACGACCGUUCUCUGAGUGCAGAAGAUUUCUAUCUCCAGCCCCCAUGCUGACACUCCUGCCAGCCGGCGGGGACGGCAUGCAUGGCAAGCCUCUGAAAUUCCGGGUUACUUCUAUGCCCACACACACACACACACACACACACGCACAAAUAUAUAAAUAUUUUUUUUUAUAAAUAUAAAUAUAUAUAUAUAUUUAUAUUUAUAAAAAUAUAAACAUAUAUAUAUAUUUAUAUAUAUUUAUAUAUAUAGACAUAAAUAUAAUAAAUAUAUAUAAUAUAUAUAUACUCUUUUACUCUUUUACUUGUUUCAGUCAUUUGACUGUGGCCAUGCUGGAGCACCGCCUUUAAUCGAGCAACUCGACCAUGGGACUUAUUUUUUGUAAGCCCAGUACUUAUCCUAUCAGUCCGUUUUGCCGAACCGCUAAGUGAUGGGGACGUAAACACACCAGCAUCGGUUGUCAAGCAAUGCUAGGGGGACAAACACAGACACACAAACAUAUACACACACAUGCAUAUAUAUAUAUAUAUAUAUAUAUAUAUAUAUAUAUACAUAUAUACGACAGGCUUCUUUCAGUUUCCGUCUACCAAAUCCACUCACAAGGCAUUGGUUGGCCCGGGACUAUAGUUGAAGACACUUGCCCAAGAUGCCACACAGUGGGACUGAACCCGGAACCAUGUGGUUGGUUAGCAAGCUACUUACCACACAGCCACUCCUUUUUUUUUAUAAAUAUAAAUAUAUAUAAAUGUAUAUAUAUAUUUAUAUUUACAAAGAUAUAAACAUAUAUUUAUAUUUAUAUACUAGCAGUAUCGCCCGGCGUUGCUCAGGUUUGUAAGGGAAAUAACUAUAAAGCAUUUUUAGAGAGUUAUAGCCAAAAAAUGGAAAAAAAAUGAUGGUAAAUUUUUUUUUUAGUUAAAAAGGUCGAGUUGCGUCCCCUAGACAGUCUAUGGUUUGUGUUUCUGAUUCUCGACCCCAUGUCGAAUUUAUCGAUUUUUUUCAGAACUGGGGGAACUUUUCAAAAUUUUCGCUGCGUUAGUUUUGAAUUAUGACAUUGGGCUAUGUGUGUGUCAAGUUUCAUCAGAAUCGGUUGAAAGCCGUGGUCAGGGUGAGGGUACAAGCAAACAGACACACAGAAACACACACAGACAAACUGCCGUUUAUAUAGAGAGAGAUAUAGACAUAAAUAAAUAUAAUAAAUAUAUCAUCAUCAUCAUCAUCAUCAUCAUCAUUUAGCAUCCGCUUUCCAUGCUAGCAUGGGUUGGAUGGUUCAACUGGGGCCUGGGAAGCCAGGAGGCUGCACCAGGCUCCAGUCUGAUCUGGCAGAGUUUCUACAGCUGGAUGCCCUUCCUAACGCCAACCACUCCGUGAGUGUAGUGGGUGCUUUUUACGUGCCAGACGGGGCUGGCAAACGGCCACGGUCGGAUGGUGCUUCUUACGUGCCACAGGCACGGGGGCCAGGCAAGGCUGGUAUUUUUAUUAUUAUUAUUGUUAUUAUUAUUAUUAUUAUUAAUAUUAUUGUUGUUGUUGUUAUUAUUAUUAUUGUUAUUAUUAUUAUUAUUAUUAUUAUUAUUAUUAUUUAUUAAUUUAUUUUAUCAUCAUUAUUAUUUAUUUAUUCUAUUGCAGAAUUCUCUACGUUUGUGAGUUUGACACUUGAAACCAGAACUGAAUCCAUUCCUUGGUCUUCAACCUUCGACAGUUUACUCUGAACACCACGCUACGUUGAUGCCAUUGCUCGCUUAUAUUUCGUAAACCUCUCCACCAGUCCACACACCAUCCACCCAUCUAAAUAUCUCGAGCUACCAUCUAGUUUCAGAAAACCUCUUGCCCGGAAAUUCACCGUUUAUUAAUCCGCCAUGGAUCUGGAAAAUAUGACAUUUCGUUCACCGGGCUCUGAUGUCGAUGCGAGACAUGUCCUCAUCGAAGGCGUCUUACCGCCUGCCUGCAUCUGUGGAAUCGUCGGCAUUAUAAUCACGUUGAUAAUAUUAAGCCAUAAACACAUGGCCACCUCCACCAAUACGUACUUGAUUGGAUUGGCAGCUGCGGAUUUGAUGUUUCUGAUUAUUGUUUCGUUGCGUCUGUGGGGUGUGAUGGUCUCGCAUAGCGACUUGAACACCUGGGAGAUAUUUACCGCUUAUUCGGAGAUUUUCUUGCGAAUGUUCAACCUGAUUUCCGUAUGGAUGAUAGUCAUGCUAGCGGUUGAACGCUUUAUAGCCAUUUGCAUUCCUUAUAAAGCGAUGGACAUGUGCACGGUCAACCGAUCACGGUGCAUCGUGGUUUUCAUCUACAUUGCUGCUUUCGUUUGCCAAUCACUGCACUUCGCCAAGUACAAGAUUGUGGCUUCGCACACCGAAUUUAACGAGAGCGAAUACACACUGCACCACACACAGCUCUCCGGAGACGUUCUCUUCACCAUCAUCUACGGAUGGGUUUUCGAAGGCCUGAUCGGCGUCAUCAUCCCAUUCGUGUUAAUCCUGGUCUUGAACAGCCGCCUCAUAUACGAAAUACACAAAUCGACACAAUACCUUAAGCGACAGAUUGGCGCCAACACGCGAACCAGCUUCGACAUCAGUUCAGAACAAAUGAAAAUCACAACAAUGCUGAUCGCGAUGUGCGUCGUCUUCCUCAUCUGCCAGGCUCCGUAUGUCCUCUACAAUUACGUCAUUAGCAUACAUGCCGGAAGCUUCAGGGGCCGGCACCAUUUAUUAAUUAUGGCAGUCUCAAUCCUAUUAGCGGCAAUGAAAUCAACCAUAAACUUUGUGCUUUACUGUUGGUUCAGCGAAAAGUUUUGGACCACUUUUAAAAGUCUGUUGUGCUUCAGGUGUGCAAAGUUGCGCAACCUGACCCAAAACCAAUCAAACGGUAACCCAAAGAACAUAAACCCCAGAAAUAAUUCCGUCUCCAAUUCUAAAGAAACUACCAUUUAAUUCUACGCGAUUCCCAUCUUCCAAUCUCCACGCUUACCAGUCUGUCUCUGUUUCAUAUACAUACAUGCAUACAUACAUACAUACAUAGAUACAUACAUAUACAUAUAUACAUACAAACAUACAUACAUAUACAUAUAUACAUACAAACAUACAUACAUACAUACAUACAUACAUACAUACAUACAUACAUACAUACAUACAUAUACAUAUAUACAUACAAACAUACAUACAUACAUACAUACAUACAUACAUACAUAUACAUAUAUACAUACAAACAUACAUACAUAUACAUAUAUACAUACAAACAUACAUACAUACAUACAUACAUACAUACAUACAUACAUAUACAUAUAUACAUACAAACAUACAUACAUACAUACAUACAUAUACAUAUAUACAUACAAACAUACAUACAUACAUACAUACCCCCACACAUAUAUACAAUCAUACACAUACAUACAUAUGCAUAUAUAUUUACACACAUACAUGCAGAUAUAUACAAACAUACAUACAUACAUGCAUACAUAGAUACAUACAUAUACAUAUAUACAUACAAACAUACAUACAUAUACAUAUAUACACAAAUUGAGAUAGGGGUUGUUGUAAAUGCAACCCUCCAUGGGAUAACAUAUAUCCAAUAUACUGCUAGUAAAGCACCCAACAAAGUUAAUACAUAAAUGUUAAGAAUUGCAAUGCAAUUAAUUCAUUUACUGUAUUAUAUGGGCAAAGGUAAAAUGUUUUACCACAAAUUAAUAAUACAAGAUAAGAAAAUGGAGAAAUACAUCUAAAUCAUUAAUCAACUACCAGAUAAUACCCAUUCACAUACUUUAUUGAACCACCACAUAAGAACAUUAAGGUUUAACAAAACAACGUACAUGAAUGAGUAAUACAAUACAAUAGGUACAAUCAUUAUAAGAGGAUAUAAAUAAAUAAAUAUAAAUAGAUAUAAAUAGC